UACGUAGGGUGCAAGCGUUGUCCGGAAUUAUUGGGCGUAAAGAGCUCGUAGGCGGUUUGUUGCGUCGGCUGUGAAAUCCCGAGGCUCAACCUCGGGUCUGCAGUCGAUACGAGCAAACUAGAGUGUUGCAGGGGAGACUGGAAUUCCUGGUGUAGCGGUGAAAUGCGCAGAUAUCAGGAGGAACACCGAUGGCGAAGGCAGGUCUCUGGGCCACUACUGACGCUGGAGAAGCGAAAAGCAUGGGGGAGCGAACAGG
rnacentral:rRNA from 1 species